GGGUUGUGAGGUUAAGCGACUAAGCGUACACGGUGGAUGCCCUGGCAGUCAGAGGCGAUGAAGGACGUGCUAAUCUGCGAUAAGCGUCGGUAAGGUGAUAUGAACCGUUAUAACCGGCGAUUUCCGAAUGGGGAAACCCAGUGUGAUUCGUCACACUAUCAUUAACUGAAUCCAUAGGUUAAUGAGGCGAACCGGGGGAACUGAAACAUCUAAGUACCCCGAGGAAAAGAAAUCAACCGAGAUUCCCCCAGUAGCGGCGAGCGAACGGGGAGCAGCCCAGAGCCUGAAUCAGUGUGUGUGUUAGUGGAAGCGUCUGGAAAGGCGCGCGAUACAGGGUGACAGCCCCGUACACAAAAAUGCACAUAUUGUGAGCUCGAUGAGUAGGGCGGGACACGUGGUAUCCUGUCUGAAUAUGGGGGGCCCAUCCUCCAAGGCUAAAUACUCCUGACUGACCGAUAGUGAACCAGUACCGUGAGGGAAAGGCGAAAAGAACCCCGGCGAGGGGAGUGAAAAAGAACCUGAAACCGUGUACGUACAAGCAGUGGGAGCACGCUUAGGCGUGUGACUGCGUACCUUUUGUAUAAUGGGUCAGCGACUUAUAUUCUGUAGCAAGGUUAACCGAAUAGGGGAGCCGAAGGGAAACCGAGUCUUAACUGGGCGUUAAGUUGCAGGGUAUAGACCCGAAACCCGGUGAUCUAGCCAUGGGCAGGUUGAAGGUUGGGUAACACUAACUGGAGGACCGAACCGACUAAUGUUGAAAAAUUAGCGGAUGACUUGUGGCUGGGGGUGAAAGGCCAAUCAAACCGGGAGAUAGCUGGUUCUCCCCGAAAGCUAUUUAGGUAGCGCCUCGUGAAUUCAUCUCCGGGGGGUAGAGCACUGUUUCGGCAAGGGGGUCAUCCCGACUUACCAACCCGAUGCAAACUGCGAAUACCGGAGAAUGUUAUCACGGGAGACACACGGCGGGUGCUAACGUCCGUCGUGAAGAGGGAAACAACCCAGACCGCCAGCUAAGGUCCCAAAGUCAUGGUUAAGUGGGAAACGAUGUGGGAAGGCCCAGACAGCCAGGAUGUUGGCUUAGAAGCAGCCAUCAUUUAAAGAAAGCGUAAUAGCUCACUGGUCGAGUCGGCCUGCGCGGAAGAUGUAACGGGGCUAAACCAUGCACCGAAGCUGCGGCAGCGACGCUUAUGCGUUGUUGGGUAGGGGAGCGUUCUGUAAGCCUGCGAAGGUGUGCUGUGAGGCAUGCUGGAGGUAUCAGAAGUGCGAAUGCUGACAUAAGUAACGAUAAAGCGGGUGAAAAGCCCGCUCGCCGGAAGACCAAGGGUUCCUGUCCAACGUUAAUCGGGGCAGGGUGAGUCGACCCCUAAGGCGAGGCCGAAAGGCGUAGUCGAUGGGAAACAGGUUAAUAUUCCUGUACUUGGUGUUACUGCGAAGGGGGGACGGAGAAGGCUAUGUUGGCCGGGCGACGGUUGUCCCGGUUUAAGCGUGUAGGCUGGUUUUCCAGGCAAAUCCGGAAAAUCAAGGCUGAGGCGUGAUGACGAGGCACUACGGUGCUGAAGCAACAAAUGCCCUGCUUCCAGGAAAAGCCUCUAAGCAUCAGGUAACAUCAAAUCGUACCCCAAACCGACACAGGUGGUCAGGUAGAGAAUACCAAGGCGCUUGAGAGAACUCGGGUGAAGGAACUAGGCAAAAUGGUGCCGUAACUUCGGGAGAAGGCACGCUGAUAUGUAGGUGAAGUCCCUUGCGGAUGGAGCUGAAAUCAGUCGAAGAUACCAGCUGGCUGCAACUGUUUAUUAAAAACACAGCACUGUGCAAACACGAAAGUGGACGUAUACGGUGUGACGCCUGCCCGGUGCCGGAAGGUUAAUUGAUGGGGUCAGCGCAAGCGAAGCUCUUGAUCGAAGCCCCGGUAAACGGCGGCCGUAACUAUAACGGUCCUAAGGUAGCGAAAUUCCUUGUCGGGUAAGUUCCGACCUGCACGAAUGGCGUAAUGAUGGCCAGGCUGUCUCCACCCGAGACUCAGUGAAAUUGAACUCGCUGUGAAGAUGCAGUGUACCCGCGGCAAGACGGAAAGACCCCGUGAACCUUUACUAUAGCUUGACACUGAACAUUGAGCCUUGAUGUGUAGGAUAGGUGGGAGGCUUUGAAGUGUGGACGCCAGUCUGCAUGGAGCCGGCCUUGAAAUACCACCCUUUAAUGUUUGAUGUUCUAACGUGGACCCGUGAUCCGGGUUGCGGACAGUGUCUGGUGGGUAGUUUGACUGGGGCGGUCUCCUCCUAAAGAGUAACGGAGGAGCACGAAGGUUGGCUAAUCUGGUCGGACAUCAGGAGGUUAGUGCAAUGGCAUAAGCCAGCUUGACUGCGAGCGUGACGGCGCGAGCAGGUGCGAAAGCAGGUCAUAGUGAUCCGGUGGUUCUGAAUGGAAGGGCCAUCGCUCAACGGAUAAAAGGUACUCCGGGGAUAACAGGCUGAUACCGCCCAAGAGUUCAUAUCGACGGCGGUGUUUGGCACCUCGAUGUCGGCUCAUCACAUCCUGGGGCUGAAGUAGGUCCCAAGGGUAUGGCUGUUCGCCAUUUAAAGUGGUACGCGAGCUGGGUUUAGAACGUCGUGAGACAGUUCGGUCCCUAUCUGCCGUGGGCGCUGGAGAACUGAGGGGGGCUGCUCCUAGUACGAGAGGACCGGAGUGGACGCAUCACUGGUGUUCGGGUUGUCAUGCCAAUGGCACUGCCCGGUAGCUAAAUGCGGAAGAGAUAAGUGCUGAAAGCAUCUAAGCACGAAACUUGCCCCGAGAUGAGUUCUCCCUGACCCUUUAAGGGUCCUGAAGGAACGUUGAAGACGACGACGUUGAUAGGCCGGGUGUGUAAGCGCAGCGAUGCGUUGAGCUAACCGGUACUAAUGAACCGUGAGGCUUAACCUUACAACGCCGAAG
rnacentral:rRNA from 1 species